CACGUAGGGGGCAAGCGUUGUCCGGAUUCAUUGGGCGUAAAGAGCUCGUAGGCGGUUCGAUAAGUCGGGUGUGAAACCUCCAGGCUCAACCUGGAGACGCCACCCGAUGCUGUCGUGACUAGAGUCCAGUAGGGGAGCGUGGAAUUCCUGGUGUAGCGGUGAAAUGCGCAGAUAUCAGGAGGAACACCAGCGGCGAAGGCGGCGCUCUGGGCUGGAACUGACGCUGAGGAGCGAAAGCGUGGGGAGCGAACAGG
rnacentral:rRNA from 1 species